UGGGGAAUAUUGGACAAUGGACGAAAGCCUGAUCCAGCCAUGCCGCGUGUGUGAAGAAGGUCUUCGGAUUGUAAAGCACUUUAAGUUGGGAGGAAGGGCUGUCGGCUAAUACCCUGCAGUUUUGACGUUACCAACAGAAUAAGCACCGGCUAACUUCGUGCCAGCAGCCGCGGUAAUACGAAGGGUGCAAGCGUUAAUCGGAAUUACUGGGCGUAAAGCGCGCGUAGGUGGUUCAGCAAGUUGGAUGUGAAAGCCCCGGGCUCAACCUGGGAACUGCAUCCAAAACUACUGAGCUAGAGUACGGUAGAGGGUGGUAGAAUUUCCUGUGUAGCGGUGAAAUGCGUAGAUAUAGGAAGGAACACCAGUGGCGAAGGCGACCACCUGGACUGAUACUGACACUGAGGUGCGAAAGCGUGGGAGCAAACAG
rnacentral:rRNA from 1 species